AGCCUUUUCAAUUCUCAGACAGAAGGACAUAAGCUUAGAUGAGAAUAUUCCACUAACGUAUCUAAACAGAAAACCUGUCACAAUGAAACUCUUUGGGCAGCAUAUUUAUUUAUUUUUUGUAAUUUUGAUGGCGAUUUGCAUCACCAAUGCUUGCACAGUUUGCGCCGCCGACAACAACAAACGGGUCGCCGACAGAUUUGUAAAAGUGCUAAUGCCCAGAAAGAAGAUUAUGAUACGCCUUCAUAAUAGCACCUCUCCAUAUUAGUCUCAUACAAAUUAUCAACUGUGGAUUGCUUUACAAAACUUUUCACUGUAUAAAUACAUAUUUGUUUUGCAAGCCACUAUUUAGGUUUAGAGAACAGGUAUGAGAAUAAAACUAGUUAUUAUCUAACAGGCGCGCCGCUCCAAAUUGAAAGAAGCAGAUCGCAAGGCCCAUCUGAUAGCGGGGACUACAACACUUAAUCCCAAAGUAAAUGAAGUCUUGACGCAACUCAACAAAUCCACUUUUCUGAAGAAGAUCGACAAGAAAAAUUACAAACAAAUGCUCCGUCAAUUGAAAGACAUUUUUCACACUACUUCUCAUACCG